rnacentral:rRNA from 1 species
UACGUAGGGGGCAAGCGUUGUCCGGAAUUAUUGGGCGUAAAGAGCGUGUAGGCGGUCCGGUAAGUCGGCUGUGAAAGUCCAGGGCUCAACCCUGGGAUGCCGGUCGAUACUGCGGGUCUCGAGUCCUGGAGAGGUGAGUGGAAUUCCUAGUGUAGAGGUGAAAUUCGUAGAUAUUGGGAGGAACACCAGUGGCGAAGGCGGCUCACUGGACCGGUACUGACGCUGAUGCGCGAAAGCGUGGGGAGCAAACGGG